CCUACGGGGGGCAGCAGUGGGGAAUAUUGGACAAUGGGGGGAACCCUGAUCCAGCCAUGCCGCGUGUGUGAAGAAGGCCCUCGGGUUGUAAAGCACUUUCAGUGAGGAAGAACGCCUGGUGGUUAAUACCCAUCAGGAAAGACAUCACUCACAGAAGAAGCACCGGCUAACUCCGUGCCAGCAGCCGCGGUAAUACGGAGGGUGCGAGCGUUAAUCGGAAUUACUGGGCGUAAAGCGCGCGUAGGUGGCUUGAUAAGCCGGUUGUGAAAGCCCCGGGCUCAACCUGGGAACGGCAGCCGGAACUGUCAAGCUAGAGUGCAGGAGAGGAAGGUAGAAUUCCCGGUGUAGCGGUGAAAUGCGUAGAGAUCGGGAGGAAUACCAGUGGCGAAGGCGGCCUUCUGGACUGACACUGACACUGAGGUGCGAAAGCGUGGGUAGCAAACAGGAUUAGAUACCCUUGUAGUC
rnacentral:rRNA from 1 species